UGGGGAAUAUUGCACAAUGGGCGCAAGCCUGAUGCAGCCAUACCGCGUGUAUGAAGAAGGCCUUCGGGUUGUAAAGUACUUUCAGUCGGGAGGAAGGUGGUAAGGUUAAUAACCUUAUCAAUUGACGUUACCGACAGAAGAAGCACCGGCUAACUCCGUGCCAGCAGCCGCGGUAAUACGGAGGGUGCAAGCGUUAAUCGGAAUUACUGGGCGUAAAGCGCACGCAGGCGGUUGAUUGAGUCAGAUGUGAAAUCCCCGGGCUUAACCCGGGAAUUGCAUCUGAUACUGGUCAGCUAGAGUCUUGUAGAGGGGGGUAGAAUUCCAUGUGUAGCGGUGAAAUGCGUAGAGAUGUGGAGGAAUACCGGUGGCGAAGGCGGCCCCCUGGACAAAGACUGACGCUCAGGUGCGAAAGCGUGGGGAGCAAACAGG
rnacentral:rRNA from 1 species